UACGUAGGGGGCUAGCGUUGUCCGGAAUCAUUGGGCGUAAAGCGCGUGUAGGCGGUCCGGUAGGUCCGCUGUGAAAGUCGGGGGCUCAACCCUCGAAUGCCGGUGGAUACUGUCGGGCUAGAGUGCGGAAGAGGCGAGUGGAAUUCCUGGUGUAGCGGUGAAAUGCGCAGAUAUCAGGAGGAACACCAAUUGCGAAGGCAGCUCGCUGGGACGUUACUGACGCUGAGACGCGAAAGCGUGGGGAGCAAACAGG
rnacentral:rRNA from 1 species